CAGCAGGGAGGCUUUGCAGUUGAAGUAAUUUACAGAAAAUGGAAAACAACUUGAUUUGGCUGGCUGUGGUAACGGGACAGGCUAAAUUUUGCUGAUCUUUCUGGCAUUGGCUGUAAGAGCAGGCAGGGCAGUUUCCAUUGACAGAUGAGAACACCAGGGUUGGAGAGGGUUGCAGAUGCAUGGCUUUAAAUUCUGUUUAUGCCGAUAUUAUGUUUUUGAAGAAUUCUAGAUGGUCAUUGAAUCAAGGCUCUGAAGACUUGAUCAGCAAAUGAGUAGGAUUGCAACCAUUAGGAAAAGUUGAGGAGGUGCAAGUGAUAUUGCAAAAGGAAAACUCAAUUCACAGAUGCAGUGAGGUAUACAGCCAAGGAAACGCCUGGAGAUCAAGCAAUGGAUGUGCAAGAAAGAACCUUCAGUGGAAAGAGAAAAUUUACUAGUUAAACCUAUGAUAAGCUGUGUGCAAUGUGAAAGCCUAUAUGAUAAACUUGAUUACUUCGGUAAUAAGAGGGAAGUAGUAAAAUAUAUAUUUUUUUCUUAUUCUAAUGAUUUACUUUUACAAAAUGCUUUUGAAUUAUGAGUAGCAAUUUAAUAUAUAAUAUUUUUAAUAGGUCUUGAUUUUUAUUGUUUUCUUUCAUGAAACUAAGGCAGUAGGGAAGCUUUGUAGUUAAAGCAGUUUAAGCAAAAUAAAAAACAUGAGAUUUGUGUGG
rnacentral:lncRNA from 1 species